rnacentral:rRNA from 1 species
GUAGGUGGCAAGCGUUGUCCGGAAUUAUUGGGCGUAAAGCGCGCGCAGGUGGUUCUUUAAGUCUGAUGUGAAAGCCCCCGGCUCAACCGGGGAGGGUCAUUGGAAACUGGGGAACUUGAGUGCAGGAGAGGAAAGCGGAAUUCCACGUGUAGCGGUGAAAUGCGUAGAGAUGUGGAGGAACACCAGUGGCGAAGGCGGCUUUCUGGUCUGUAACUGACGCUGAGGCGCGAAAGCGUGGGGAGCAAACAGGAUUAGAUACCCUGGUAGUCCACGCCGUAAACGAUGAGUGCUAAGUGUUAGGGGGUUUCCCGCCCCCCUUAGUGCUGCAGCUAACGCAUUAAGCACUCCGCCUGGGGAGUACGGCCGCAAGGCUG